rnacentral:sRNA from 1 species
GAACGCCGAGUUGACUGGGGUUGUAGCUUGGCCUCCCGAAGGCAUGUGCACGCCCUGGCUUCCAUUCCACUUCUACACCUGUGCACUCACUGUGGGCUUCAGAUUGUCGUGAAGCGGGCUCCUUACCGGGCUUGUGAAGCGGUGUCUGUGCCUGCGUUUACUACAAACUAUUAAAGUAUCAGAAUGUGUAUUGCGAUGUAACGCAUCUAUAUACAACUUUCAGCAACGGAUCUCUUGGCUCUCGCAUCGAUGAAGAACGCAGCGAAAUGCGAUAAGUAAUGUGAAUUGCAGAAUUCAGUGAAUCAUCGAAUCUUUGAACGCACCUUGCGCUCCUUGGUAUUCCGAGGAGCAUGCCUGUUUGAGUGUCAUGAAAUCUUCAACCUGCAAGCUUAUGUGGUUUGUAGGCUUGGACUUGGAGGCUUUGUCGGCCAUGCCCGGUCGGCUCCUCUCAAAUGCAUUAGCUUGGUUCCUUGCGGAUCGGCUCUCGGUGUGAUAAUGUCUACGCCGUGACCGUGAAGCGUUUGGCGAGCUUCUAAUCGUCUCGGUUAGAGACAGCUUUAUGACCUCUGACCUCAAAUCAGGUAGGACUACCCGCUGAACUUAAGCAUAUCAUAGUGGGAAGAGAAGAGAGCAUUAAUCCGAGUUUUGACUGGGUUGUAGCUGGCCUCCCGAGGCAUGUGCACGCCUGCUCAUCACUCUACACCUGUGCACUCACUGUGGGCUUCAGAUUGUCGUGAAGCGGGCUCUUACGGGCUUGUGAAGCGGUGUCUGUGCCUGCGUUUUACUACAACUAUUAAAGUAUCAAAAUGUGUAUUGCGAUGUAACGCAUCUUAUACACUUUCAUCAGGAACUCUGGGCUCUGCAUCAUGAAGAACGCACGAAAUGCGAUAGUAAUGUGAAUUGCAGAAUUCAGUGAAUCAUGAAUCUUUGAACGCUUGCGCUCUGCUAUUCCAGGAGCAGCUGUUUGAGUGUCAUGAAAUCUUCACUGCAGCUUAUUUGUUUGUAGCUGACUUGGAAGCUUGUCCGCAUGCGUCGCCUCUUAAUGCAUAACUUGAUUCUUGCGAAUCGCCUGGUGUGAUAAGUUCAACUGGUGACGAGCUUGGGCAGAGCUCAUAUCUGCUCGUUGAAGAGCUUUAACUCUGUGUCACUCAAUCGCGUGGGAGUCCGCUACUUAGCAUCAUUUACG